AAGCUCGUAGUUGGAUUUCGGUUGAGAGCGGCCGGUCCGCCGUUUGGUGUCCUUUUGCGGGUUUCAGCUUCCUGCAGAGGACGUUUUCUGGGGUUACUCGUCUGGACGUGGAGUCUGCGUGGUUACUUUGAAAAAAUUAGAGUGUUCAAAGCGGGCUUACGCUUGAAUAUUUCAGCAUGGAAUAACACUAUAGGACUCCUGUCCUAUUUCGUUGGUCUCGGGACGGGAGUAAUGAUUAAGAGGAACAGUUGGGGGCAUUCGUAUUUCAAUGUCAGAGGUGAAAUUCUUGGAUUUUUGAAAGACGAACUUCUGCGAAAGCAUUUGCCAAGGAUGUUUUCAUUAAUCAAGAACGAAAGCUGGGGGCUCGAAUAUGAUUAGAUACCAUCCUAGUCUCAACCAUAAACGAUGCCGACUAGGGAUUGGAGGAUGUUAAUUGAUGACUCCGUCAGCACCUUAUGAGAAUUCAAAGUUUU
rnacentral:rRNA from 1 species